GAUGAACGCUGGCGGCGUGCCUAAUAAAUGCAAGUAGGACGCAGUUGCGAACGGGUGAGUAACGCGUAGGUAACUACCUAUUAGAGGGGGAUAACUAUUGGAAACGAUAGCUAAUAUCUCAUACUAGUAGAUGGGCCUGCGUUGUAUUUGGUAGUUGGUAGGGGAAUGGCCUACCGAGGCAACGAUACCUAGCCGACCUGGGAGGGUGAUCGGCCACACUGGGAAGUGGGCACGGCCCAGAAUCCUACGGGAGGGAGCAGUAGGGAAUCUUCGGCAAUUGGGGGAACCCCGACCGAGCAACGCCGCGUGAGUGAAGAAGGUUUUCGGAUCGUAAAGCUCUGUUGUUAAGGAAGCGGUACUUAACCAGAAAGGGACGGCUAACUACGUGCCAGCAGCCGCGGUAAUAC
rnacentral:rRNA from 1 species